UACGGAGGGAGCUAGCGUUGUUCGGAAUUACUGGGCGUAAAGCGCGCGUAGGCGGCUUUGUAAGUUAGAGGUGAAAGCCCGGGGCUCAACCCCGGAACUGCCUUUAAGACUGCAUCGCUUGAAUCCAGGAGAGGUGAGUGGAAUUCCGAGUGUAGAGGUGAAAUUCGUAGAUAUUCGGAAGAACACCAGUGGCGAAGGCGGCUCACUGGACUGGUAUUGACGCUGAUGUGCGAAAGCGUGGGGGAGCAAAACAGGGAUUAAGAAA
rnacentral:rRNA from 1 species